AUCCCGUGGCGCGGCGCGGCGCCCCCUGCCGGCUGGCCUGUCCCCGUGUCCUCCCGUCCUGUCCGCGCGGGCAGGCGAGCGAAGGCGGCGACCCGACCGCUCACGCGCGCCGGCACGUCGGAGCACAUCGGCACACGCCAGGGAGCGGGCGGCCGGACCCUGCCCUGCCCGGUCGCGACCUGAAGCUCUGUAGCCCACCUCGCAUCGGCCCCUCCGCGCCGCACCAACCGAGCCCCCCAGCCCAAUCAUGCGCGGCGCGCGCGUGCCGGGUCGCCAGCCGCGCGUCGCGUCGGCCGGGUCCGGCCGCCACGCCACCCCACGCGCCGGGAGCCCGGGAUCGAUGGCGAGCUGCUACCUAGCUAGCUAGCGCGAGGCUGGUGGACGGGAUCCCAAGCCAAGCUGCCGCGCCGAGUGUCGGUCGGUCUUUGUUUGUCCUGAUGGCGGGAGCGGUGGCGAUGGGAUCGAGCUCGGUGUCCGAACAGCGUGGCGCGUGGUGGGGGAACGUGGACUUGCUGAUUAUGGGGGGGGAUUGUUUUGAAGAUGGGUGUAGUUAGCUGGAGAUGGACUUGCUAAUUUGCAUGGGCGAUGGAGCACGAUGCACACACUUAAUUUCCUUUUCGAGUGAAAAAAGGGAACAGGUUAGUCAUAAGUGUAUCUAAUUUGGUCAUUUGGUGUUUAUUUAUAAACUUCGGAUGUCUUUUAACUAGUUGCUGAAUCAAUGAUGCGUGUUUUUUUA